rnacentral:rRNA from 1 species
CCUACGGGAGGCAGCAGUGAGGAAUAUUGGUCAAUGGACGAGAGUCUGAACCAGCCAAGUAGCGUGAAGGAUGACUGCCCUAUGGGUUGUAAACUUCUUUUAUAUGGGAAUAAAAUGUUCCACGUGUGGGAUUUUGUAUGUACCAUAUGAAUAAGGAUCGGCUAACUCCGUGCCAGCAGCCGCGGUAAUACGGAGGAUCCGAGCGUUAUCCGGAUUUCUUGGGUUUAAAGGGAGCGUAGGUGGAUUGUUAAGUCAGUUGUGAAAGUUUGCGGCUCAACCGUAAAAUUGCAGUUGAAACUGGCAGUCUUGAGUACAGUAGAGGUGGGCGGAAUUCGUGGUGUAGCGGUGAAAUGCUUAGAUAUCACGAAGAACUCCGAUUGCGAAGGCAGCUCACUGGACUGCAACUGACACUGAGGCUCGAAAGCGUGGGGAGCAAACAGGAUUAGAUACCCUAGUAGUC